GCCAGAUCAUUAGAGGACCAAAUAAAGAGAAGCGAAUGAAAUUGGCUCAAGAUCAGUUGCAGGAGCACAGGACUACUGGUUUUUCUGAUGUACUGUACAGUGAUGAGUGUACAAUUGAAUUCGAAUCCCACAGGAGAUUUUCAUGAAGGAAAAUAGGUGCCCCCGAAACCAAAACCAAGGUACAUGCAUGGGCAGGUAUAAGUUGCCAAGGAAAGACGCCAAUUGUGCUGUUUGAAGAAAAAA